rnacentral:rRNA from 1 species
CCUACGGGAGGCAGCAGUAGGGAAUAUUGCACAAUGAGGGAAACCCUGAUGGAGCAACACCGCGUGCGUGAAGAAGGUUUUCGGAUCGUAAAGCGCUGUUGUUGGAGAAGAACAUGCGUGAGAGUAACUGUUCACGCAGUGACGGUAUCCAACCAGAAAGUCACGGCUAACUACGUGCCAGCAGCCGCGGUAAUACGUAGGUGGCAAGCGUUAUCCGGAAUUAUUGGGCGUAAAGCGAUCGCAGGCGGUUGCGUAGGUCUGGUGUGAAAGCCGUGGGCUUAACCGACGAAGUGCAUCGGAAACCAGGCAACUUGAGUGAAGAAGAGGACAGUGGAAUUCCAUGUGUAGCGGUGGAAUGCGUAGAUAUAUGGAAGAACACCAGAGGCGAAGGCGGCUGUCUGGGUUGCAACUGACGCUGAGGCUCGAAAGCAUGGGUAGCGAACAGGAUUAGAUACCCCAGUAGUC